rnacentral:rRNA from 1 species
AGUGUAGGCGGUUACUUAAGUCGGAUGUGAAAGCCCUGGGCUCAACCUGGGAAUGGCAUUCGAUACUGGGUAACUAGAGUUUGGUAGAGGUAAGCGGAAUUCCGGGUGUAGCGGUGAAAUGCGUAGAUAUCCGGAGGAACAUCAGUGGCGAAGGCGGCUUACUGGACCAAAACUGACGCUGAGGCUCGAAAGCGUGGGGAGCAAACAGGAUUAGAUACCCUGGUAGUCC